rnacentral:piRNA from 1 species
UGGAAGAAAGACCUACAUAGUGAAAGUGGC